GUGCUCCCAAUAGCAGCACAUAUACUAAAAUUGGAGUGAUACAGAGAAGAUUAGCAUGAUCCCCGUGCAAUGAUGUCACCCAAAUUCAUGAAGUGUUCCAUGUUAAA
ensembl:snRNA U6 U6 spliceosomal RNA